rnacentral:tRNA from 1 species
GCAGGUACCGCUCAGCGGUAGAGAGCAGGCUUAACAUGCACGAGGUCCUGGGUUCAAUCCCCAGUACCUCCG